rnacentral:rRNA from 1 species
AUGGCGAACGGCGACCAGGACAUGGCCACCGACGAAUUGAUGGAGACGGAGGGGUUGAAGGUCCUUGCCGUGGACGACGACCCCAUCUACCUCCAUUCCUUGACGCAGAUGCUUCGGCGCUGCGGCUACGAAGUGACGGCCAAGCCAUCACCAGCAGAAGCGGUGAGAGAGGUGGAGAAGAACCCGGACGGGACCGACUUCAUCAUGACGGUCGUGCAGACCCGGGGACGAGGCAUGGACGGCUUGGGCCUCCUCAAGCGUCUCGGGAAACGUUACCCGGUCGUCCUCGUGUUCUCGGGCAACGAGACCAUGGAGACGAGAAGAAGGGGAAAUGAGGGGGGCGCUUGCUACUUGAUGGAAAAGCCCCUACGCGACGCGCAGAUACACUUCAUCUGGCAGCACGUCGUGCGAUGGAGGCGCAAUGCCGCCGCCGCUGCCACGGCAAACGCUGACCCUCGCCACAGUCAGGGCAUUCAUCUGGAUGACACGCCGAGGAAGAGAGGGCAAGGAGUGAACGAUCCCAACAAGGGCAAGGGGGGCUCCGAGGGCGGCUUGCAGCUGGGGACCACAAAGAAGAAAAAGGUCGAGUGGACUCCAGAGAUGCAUGAAUUGUUCGUCAAUGCCGUCACCCAGUUAAAGACAACAGAAGCUAGGGCUUGGAUAAUUGAACCGCUGAUCAAAUAA